CCCUUAGAUGUCCUGGGCCGCACGCGCGUUACACUGAUGCAUUCAACGAGCUUAUAACCUUGGCCGAGAGGCCUGGGCAAUCUUGUUAACGUGCAUCGUGAUAGGGAUAGAUUAUUGAAAUUAUUAAUCUUGAACGAGGAAUUCCUAGUAAACGCAGAUCAUCAAUCUGCAUUGAUUACGUCCCUGCCCUUUGUACACACCGCCCGUCGCACCUACCGAUUGAAUGGUCCGGUGAAAUCUUCGGACCGCGCAACGCCGCAAGGUGAUGCGUGGAAAGUUGCUUAAACCUUACCAUUUAGAGGAAGGUGAAGUCGUAACA
rnacentral:rRNA from 1 species